rnacentral:lncRNA from 1 species
UGGCCUUUGCUGUCACGCUUUAUGAAUACCUGGCAGCAAUGAUCAAAGAAAUCUUAUACAUGGCAGAAUCAUGUGUUCGGACGUGUUACUACGUGCGUCGAAUAGUUAAUUUGCAUCUACAACCAAAGUGUAAAACUUUUCAAGGAAGUCACACAAUGCUGCUUAGAAGCAAAUAUAUUCGCGAAGAAUUUGGUCUUUAAGUGGGUUUUCAGCUAUCUACAAGUAGUGAUAGUGGGUUGUGAAACUGGGCAAAUCUGAGAAGCGAAUACGAGUCGAUUUCGAAAUUGUGCACGCGGUUCUAAUUAUUCAGGUAGGUAGGCAAUUUCAGUAAAUAUAGUUCUAGUGAAUAUGUUUCGUCAAGAAGACUAUACCUGGCAGAAACUCCAGAGUGCAAGACCUCUACACAGCAGUGUCUAUUCGAUAUCCCAACUUAUUUUACCAUCAUUUCAAAGCCGACGGGGGAAUCAGUAGAUUGUAUAUGUGGGCAGUGGCAGUAGUAAGGUGUUCACCUGAACUCAACAAUGAAAGGCAACAGCAGAGAAAAACGUAAACUGAACCAAGACAACUUGUGCCGACUAACCGUAAUAACGUAACAUGAAUCUGAAGACGCAGCGGACGCACACGACACCAACAUUAUGGCUGGCAGCGCUUUUCCUUCGGUAAAUGAUUCUGAGGCGAUCGAUUGUAUCAGAUUCAGGAAACAAGAAAGCUCCGCAAAGCAAAACGCAAAGUUUUCAGGAACGCAAGAAUACCCCACGCUACUUUUUCAGGGGCAGCGCGCAAGACCUUGAAGUACUCCGGUGGACAGAUAAAUAUGUGGAAACUCCGACAAGCUCCGGAAUAAAACGUUGUGGGUAAUAAUGUGACCAACAUAGAAAAGAAGCGAAGGACGAGGCAGACGGUGAAGCCGCCAGUGGUAAAAAGAAGCGCAUGUUGGCUUUACAAUAUAAAUAACAUUCAACGGAAGUGUUUGCGGUAUCGGAAGCGCUCGAAAGCCCAAAGACGUUCCGGCCAGGAUUCUUUCGAUUAGAUAAGCUGCCGGUGCUUACAAUGUUUAGCUUCGGAUGAAUGAACUGUUUGCGCUCUUCACGCUGGACGAGGCUUCAGGCUGGGCAGCGAGGGCUUUCAUUAGAGUUUGUUUAGAUGAUGCACGCAUGCCUUUGUCGUGUUAGCAGCGACAUAACCAAAGGACGCUUUCAUUUCUGCGAUAGAGGACGUCAUUAGUAGAAGCUAAUGGAAAUUCUGCACCAGAUGACACGUAUAGGUUAGGGGACGCGAAGGUAUGCUGCUGGUGCUACGCGGCUCUAGAUGAAAAGAAAGGGCUAGUCAAAUAAAGAUGGUGAAGACCGACAAGGGGUACGAAUGAAGUCUGAUGAAUGCCCGAUGUGGAAGAGCAGCCUGGCUCCGGUGGCUUUGCAGGGACUUUGCGCUGGCAAACGACAAAUGUAGACAAAGCAAGCGCGGCGGUCUAAUCGAGGAAGGCAAAUCUGAGAUGAAGCUGCUGAUGCUGCUUUGUAGGAAAUAGACAACAGCGUGAAUGCCGUUAGAGUAGAGUAAGUGGAAGGUCCGAUGAAAGGCCCAAUGAAAUGGCGAAGUGGUGAUGGUCAGGCCAGUGUUGGUGUGGAUAAGCAGACUGGUUUUCUAUUCCUGCUAGCGUGCAGCGUUGUCUCCGUCACUCUCAGAAUUGUUGGAUCGUGCUGCUGCUGGCGUAAAAGGCAUGAACACUGCUAGAUCACAACUACUACCACCACCGUCUAAUCUACGAUCAUCAUAUCACGUCGAUACGUAUCGGCACGCCAUCUACCAAUGUCAAAGCUAACCCUGCUAUAACCCUGCGCUUGUUAAACACGAUAAGCGACCUCUAGAGGCCGGCUAGAGUAUAGGUUAGGGUCUGUGAGAACCUUUUACGCUAAACGGUUCUGGUCACAUACUGUGGUCGGAGGCUAUUUGCAGGACCCUUUACAUUACUACGGUCUACUCUUGUUCGCAGCAAACGAAUUCCAGAGUUCAGCCAGAAGAAGAAGAAGGGCUUAGACGGACCUCCUAGAUGUUAUGAGCAUUCUGCGGUGAUAGA